rnacentral:lncRNA from 1 species
UCAACCAGAAAAUAACAGCUCUGAUUUCUCAUGGCUCACACUCUUCUGAAACGACUCGGGUAGAGGCUGAGGAAGGCCGUGUUGUUUGUCUACCUGGGACUAAAUUCUGGUUAUUGAAUCACAGCACCUACUGAAAGAAGUUCUCAAGUUCUGACUGAGUUCUAAAAUUUUUUGAAGAUUAGAAUUCUUCAUAUGUGGGAUGAGAGACUGAGAAAAGAAAUAAGACACGGAGACAAAGUACAGAGAAAGAACAGCGGGCCCAGGAGACCGGCACUCAGCAUACGGAGGACCAGCACUGGCACCGGCCUCUGAGUUCCCUCAGUUUAUUGAUUACCAUUUUCAGUGUCUCAGCAAGAGGAAUGCGGUAGGAGAGCAGGGUGUCAGC